ACAACAACAAUAAAAACCAAAACACAUAAUAAAAAUAAUAUUCAUCUCCACAGACAAUAAAAAUAAAACGUGAGAGACGCAGCAAACUGAUUCUUUUGGAGAAUAGCAGUCAGGUCGCGAGCAGGAUGCUCAGAUGGACAAGAGAACAAUAAAAGUUGCCCAAGCAACCUACCGUCCAUAGCAACAUGAAGGCCGACACUGAACCUAAGCUUCCAAAGCAAUCCGUUUGUUUUUGACAACCCGGGAUGGGUUUAUCACAUGGCGAGCUUGGUCGCUGCUGUAUAAAAAAAAUUAUAGCUCUGAUAACAACAACAAUAAAAAAUACCAUUAGGGGGAGUGAAUGCUCCCCUUGGGCUUUAUCUCCCG
rnacentral:sRNA from 1 species